GUGCCAGCAGCCGCGGUAAUACCGGCAGCCCAAGUGAUGGCCGAUCUUAUUGGGCCUAAAGCGUCCGUAGCUGGCCGCACAAGUCCAUCGGGAAAUCCACCUGCUCAACAGGUGGGCGUCCGGUGGAAACUGUGUGGCUUGGGACCGGAAGGCGCGACGGGUACGUCCGGGGUAGGAGUGAAAUCCCGUAAUCCUGGACGGACCGCCGAUGGCGAAAGCACGUCGCGAAAACGGAUCCGACAGUGAGGGACGAAAGCUAGGGUCUCGAACCGGAUUAGAAACCCUAGUAGUCC
rnacentral:rRNA from 1 species